rnacentral:rRNA from 1 species
ACGCUCGACACCUACGGGGGGCAGCAGUGGGGAAUAUUGCACAAUGGGGGAAACCCUGAUGCAGCGACGCCGCGUGAAGGAAGAAGUAUCUCGGUAUGUAAACUUCUAUCAGCAGGGAAGAAAAUGACGGUACCUGACUAAGAAGCCCCGGCUAACUACGUGCCAGUAGCCGCGGUAAUCUGAGCGGGCUGGCAAGGC